rnacentral:sRNA from 1 species
AAUCUAUCAAAUCCACACAAUACACGUGAACUACUAUGUUGACCAUCCGUGAAAACGGAUUGGGUUGGAGGCAGGUUACACUGUUUCCAGCCCAGGCGUUAGUGCCUGCAUUCUGCAGACACUGGCUUCGGUCUUUUCUAACUACUAACCAACACAUAACUGAAUAACUAAAUCCGAACAUACGGCUAAGAGUCGAAUGUUCAAUAACCAAGACAACUCUCAACAACGGAUAUCUUGGCUCUCAGAUCGAUGAAGAACGCAGCGAAAUGCGAUACGUAGUGUGAAUUGCAGAAAUACGUGAAUCAUCGAAUCUUUGAACGCAAAUUGCGCUCGAGGCUUCGGCCAAGAGCAUGUCUGCCUCAGCGUCGGGUUAAAACACGCUCAAUCCAUUCAUGGGUAUGAUGCGGAACUGGCAGUCUCGGUAGCUUCGGUUGCUGGGUCUGCUGAAGUUUACAGCUGUUGCACAAGGACCUUCUAUGGGCCUCUACUGGGUAGGCAAACUUUUGCUAAAUGCUUUAGUAGAUGGCUUAGGAUCGUUGUGCUGACACUAAUCAGGAGCAUGCAUGCAUGCAAAACCCUUUUUCGACCUGAGCUCAGGCAAGA